rnacentral:lncRNA from 1 species
UUACAGUAAAACAACACCACUUUUUUCGCAUAAUCUAGGAACGUGUAGUCAAUUUCGUAAAUAUGCUCAAUUAUGCCAUAGAAAUCUUCUACUACACCACUAUCAGAGACACUUUUCAUACAAACUCCACUAUUAAUUGUUUCUUUUCCUUCAGUCCAAGAUUCAGUGUGAAAUUUGUAUCCAUUGACGUAAUAGGUGUGUCAUUCUUUGAAACUUCUACUCGGGCCCAUAGAUAAGUGCCUUAAGUGGAUGUUGAUAGGAGUUUGUUCUUCGAGAUGCACUUGUUGUUGAAACCAUAAUGGGAAAUUUGAAUGUAUAUC